CCUUCAUCAGGAGGGCUUUUAGGGAUGCGAGUUGAUGUUUUGUUGGUUGUUGACGAGAGGAAUGGUAAUGAAGGUGGUGUUGUUCAAAAUGAUUUGGGACAUGGCAUAAGUGGAGUGGUGGAGAAGUAGUGAAUAGUCAACAUAAUAGGAAAUGAUAAAACAAUGAAAAGAUUUAUGAAAAGCAAGAGAAUAAAGAAAAAAGAGGGGAAAAGUAAUAACAAUCAUAAUAAUGUAACAACUUUAAUCUAACAAACUUACUGAAUGAUUUGCUCGGCGGUAAUCCACAUCUGCCAGCCAUAUUUUUGUUUUAAAUUUGACUAGGUAGCCCUUCUUAUGUGUGUUUGCUUUUUGCUUAUGCAAGAAUGAGUGUUGG